AAUGGUGUAUUACUUUUUGUUCAGUGCUUAAGUUGGAAAAAAUCUCUCAUGUUUCAGAUGAUCAUGGAACGUAAGUUGCAAUGACACACCCUCCUCAUAUAUAUAACAUAGUUCUUAAAUAUAAUUUUCCUGAAAAGAGAUGGGAUGGCAUGUACCUGUUGCCAAAGAAACCAAAUGCAGGCCGCAGAAAUAUUUAAGCAAGCAGGGUGUGUCAUUGCACUUAUUUUGAUGACAUGCAAUGCAACCUUAAAGUUAUUGAUCCUCCACAAAAUGUAAACUUGUUGAUAGCCAACCCGAAAUAGUUAUUGAUCCUCUCCAAAAUGUGGCCAUCUUGUUUUCAGCUGUUCUCUGAUCAUAUGGAUAGAAUAAUUUGAUCCAUGUAGAUCUUUAAUUAUCUUUAUCAUUCUUAUGUUAUUUGUGGGCAUAUUAUUAGUUUUACACGUGUCAAUGAAAAAAAAGGAGUUCAUUAAAGUUAUUCUUUGAAAUCAUGUGUUUAUCUAUCUGAUGGCCUCUACAGCUUGGUAUUAAUGUGUGGAUCUUGUUUUUUUUUAAUUCUAAUGCACCAACUAAACUCAUCUGUGCCUGUUUUUCAUGUUGUGGAUUGGAUUUGUGUUUCUUUAGGAUUUAUUUAUUUAUUUAUAUUUUUUGAGAAGGCUGGAUUCUGCUUCACAUGAGAAGAGUUGUCAUCUUUUUUUAUGGUUUGAUUUUUUUUUAGUAAGUGAUUUUUCUGUAAUACUUCUUUUCUCUCUCAUUCUUUCUUUCUUUGGGGUGGUGGUGUGUGUGCCUUUUGUAUUUUGGGAAAAGGUGGGGCACUUCUUUCCGGCAAUGGAUGUGUGAUGGACAGAAAUCUCCUCCACUGAACAUUCCCAGCCAUCACACUCGUGUACUUCCCAUUGCAUGUAAACCACUGUCUAAAUUUUAUUUUCAAGAGUUAUUUGCCAGCCAAUUAAUGAAUGCCAAGUAGCAUCACCCAUCCACAGUGGGGCCUACCAGAUGAAUGAUCUAGAUUACUGAAAGAUGGGCCCCACCUGUACGGUAUGCUGUCCCAAAUGAAGACACCGAUAACUCGGGCCAAGAAUUGUAUAUUUGUUCUUCUUCCUUUCUGUGGUUGCCCGUUUCUGUCAUGCGAAUCAGAGAGUUGAGAUACUGAAAAUUUGAUAUUUGAUAUUGGAUUUGGGCAGGGGAUUCUCCCUGAUGGGAGGAUUGUAGCUGUCAAGAGAUUGUCGAUUUUUAUUCUUCUUUAAUGACUAUGACUCUUUCUCUUCUUCAGGGUACCUUAUACCAAAAGGAUGGAAAGUUUUACCACUAUUCAGGAACAUUCACCACAACCCUGACAUCUUUACUGAUCCUGACAAGUUUGAUCCUGCCAGAUUUGAGGUAGCUCCAAAGGCCAACACAUUCAUGCAAUUUGGCAAUGGAAUCCACUCCUGGCCAAGGAAUGAGCUAGUAAACUGGAGAUGUUGGUCCUUCUCCAUCACCUAACCACCAAGUACAGAGCGCUAUAGAAACAGCUCUUGCGGAUGGGGAGCACUGUGCUGAACAGGAUUCUAGCAUUCAGAUGUCCUGUUUCUUUGAUAAGGCUUUAGCAAAUGUUGGAGCCGACCUGGCACAGUUAGUCCCUGGUCGGGUGUCGACUGCAGUGAAUGCUCGUUUGGCUUAUGAUACAAAUGGCAUCCUUCGGAAGCCAUAACUCCAUUCGGAAUUAUCGAAACACAACAGCUCACAUCAUCCAGAUAAUUAGUCUACUUGACUGUCGUGGGCAUAACAUCAUUGAGGUGUUUUCAAUUCAGCAAUCAACAAAGCAGUUGCCUGGUGUUGUUGGGUUCAAGUUGUCUGGAAAAUUGAACAAUGGUGUUACAGCUACCGACUUAGUUUUGACUGUGAUGCAAAUGUUGAGGAAGCAUGGGGUUGUUGGCAAGUUUGUUGAGUUUUAUGGUGGGGGCAUGGGUGAAUUAUCAUUGGCUGAUAGGGCUACUAUUGCUAAUAUGUCUCCUGAAUAUGGAGCAACCAUGGGUUUCUUUCCUGUAGAUCAUGUCACUCUACAAUAUCUCAAGCUAACAAGACGAAGUGACAAAACUGUGGCAAUGAUAGAAGCCUAUCUAAGAGCAAACAACAUGUUCGUUGACUACAACGAGGUGCUUAAUUCAAUGGAUUUGAUAUUGAAUUUGGUAUGCUUAUAGGAGUUGAGGCUAGGGGCUUUAUAUUUGGUCCUCCAAUUGCGUUAGCGAUUGGUGCAAAGUUUGUUCCGUUGAGAAAACCAAGAAAAUUGCCAGCUGGAUUGUGGAAAUCAAUCAACGGCAAGCAGAAGUACUAGAUGCCCAACUGACGGUUGAGCAGCUUCAACAAGGAGAUCAGUUGCUCACGGCCCAAAAUGAGAUGUUGAAGGUGUGGUUUCAAGGAGGAAGUGAAGUUCCACAGAUGAUGUAUUUUUUCGACUCCAAUAUUAUUUUCUCUUGCACUGUCUGGACAUUCCAAAUUAGUUUUUGCUGGCAACUGGUAAUUAGUCUGAUGCUGCUUUUUUAUUUUGCAUUUAAAUUUUCCUGCUGUAGAUUGUGUUGGACUGUCAACCAUUCCUCAUGGUGAUUAGUAUUGUUCAUAUUGCAAUUCAUAGUGUUUGGGUAACAUAGGCUGUGGCAAUUCAUGUGCGGUUUUUGUAUUCUUCACUUACACUGUGUGAGGUUUGAAAAUCAUGAAUGAAAAUAGUAACAUUUGUUUCCUCA